rnacentral:snRNA from 1 species
AGAGUGAGGAUGAUCUGACUUGAGCAUCUGUUACCAGGGUUGUUUUGGCUGAUCUGGGUGUGUAGGUGAAAGUUCCCUCUCCUCUUCAUUGCUCCAUGUAUGUCUCUUCCUGAAACUGGAUAUUUGGUCAAAAAGGAUGAGCUUCCCCAAUAGAGAGAGGCUAAUCUUUGGCCAAGGGUAUAGAAUAGCUGUGGUUCCCCUGCUAGGACCUUCUAAUAAGUUCUUGAUACCAGAUACAUAAUCUGUAUCCUAUUAAAGAAUUUUGACUCACAUGUGAGAACAGCAUUCAUGUCAUAAAUCAUACUUAU